AGUCGAGCGGUAGCACAGAGAGCUUGCUCUCGGGUGACGAGCGGCGGACGGGUGAGUAAUGUCUGGGAAACUGCCUGAUGGAGGGGGAUAACUACUGGAAACGGUAGCUAAUACCGCAUAAUGUCGCAAGACCAAAGUGGGGGACCUUCGGGCCUCAUGCCAUCAGAUGUGCCCAGAUGGGAUUAGCUAGUAGGUGGGGUAACGGCUCACCUAGGCGACGAUCCCUAGCUGGUCUGAGAGGAUGACCAGCCACACUGGAACUGAGACACGGUCCAGACUCCUACGGGAGGCAGCAGUGGGGAAUAUUGCACAAUGGGCGCAAGCCUGAUGCAGCCAUGCCGCGUGUGUGAAGAAGGCCUUCGGGUUGUAAAGCACUUUCAGCGGGGAGGAAGGCGUUGAGGUUAAUAACCUUGUCGAUUGACGUUACCCGCAGAAGAAGCACCGGCUAACUCCGUGCCAGCAGCCGCGGUAAUACGGAGGGUGCAAGCGUUAAUCGGAAUUACUGGGCGUAAAGCGCACGCAGGCGGUCUGUCAAGUCGGAUGUGAAAUCCCCGGGCUCAACCUGGGAACUGCAUUCGAAACUGGCAGGCUAGAGUCUUGUAGAGGGGGGUAGAAUUUCCAGGUGUAGCGGUGAAAUGCGUAGAGAUCUGGAGGAAUACCGGUGGCGAAGGCGGCCCCCUGGACAAAGACUGACGCUCAGGUGCGAAAGCGUGGGGAGCAAACAGGAUUAGAUACCCUGGUAGUCCACGCCGUAAACGAUGUCGAUUUGGAGGUUGUGCCCUUGAGGCGUGGCUUCCGGAGCUAACGCGUUAAAUCGACCGCCUGGGGAGUACGGCCGCAAGGUUAAAACUCAAAUGAAUUGACGGGGGCCCGCACAAGCGGUGGAGCAUGUGGUUUAAUUCGAUGCAACGCGAAGAACCUUACCUGGUCUUGACAUCCACAGAACUUUCCAGAGAUGGAUUGGUGCCUUCGGGAACUGUGAGACAGGUGCUGCAUGGCUGUCGUCAGCUCGUGUUGUGAAAUGUUGGGUUAAGUCCCGCAACGAGCGCAACCCUUAUCCUUUGUUGCCAGCGGUUCGGCCGGGAACUCAAAGGAGACUGCCAGUGAUAAACUGGAGGAAGGUGGGGAUGACGUCAAGUCAUCAUGGCCCUUACGACCAGGGCUACACACGUGCUACAAUGGCAUAUACAAAGAGAAGCGACCUCGCGAGAGCAAGCGGACCUCAUAAAGUAUGUCGUAGUCCGGAUUGGAGUCUGCAACUCGACUCCAUGAAGUCGGAAUCGCUAGUAAUCGUAGAUCAGAAUGCUACGGUGAAUACGUUCCCGGGCCUUGUACACACCGCCCGUCACACCAUGGGAGUGGGUUGCAAAAGAAGUAGGUAGCUUAACCUUCGGGAGGGCGCU
rnacentral:rRNA from 1 species